rnacentral:rRNA from 1 species
AAGCUGGCCACCGGAGAGUUUGAUCAUGGCUCAGAUUGAACGCUGGCGGAAUGCUUUACACAUGCAAGUCGAACGGCAGCACGGGAGCUUGCUCCUGGUGGCGAGUGGCGAACGGGUGAGUAACAUAUCGGAACGUACCUAGUAAUGGGGGAUAACUAGCCGAAAGGUUAGCUAAUACCGCAUACGCCCUGAGGGGGAAAGCGGGGGAUCGUAAGACCUCGCGUUAUUAGAGCGGCCGAUAUCUGAUUAGCUAGUUGGUGGGGUAAAGGCCUACCAAGGCGACGAUCAGUAGCUGGUCUGAGAGGACGACCAGCCACACUGGAACUGAGACACGGUCCAGACUCCUACGGGAGGCAGCAGUGGGGAAUUUUGGACAAUGGGCGCAAGCCUGAUCCAGCCAUUCCGCGUGAGUGAAGAAGGCCUUCGGGUUGUAAAGCUCUUUCGCAAGGGAAGAAACGAUGCAGUCGAAUAAACUGCGUUAAUGACGGUACCUUGAUAAGAAGCACCGGCUAACUACGUGCCAGCAGCCGCGGUAAUACGUAGGGUGCGAGCGUUAAUCGGAAUUACUGGGCGUAAAGCGUGCGCAGGCGGUUUGUAAGUCAGAUGUGAAGCUCCUGGCUCACUGGGAGAGUCGUUCAAACUGC